UUGAGCUUAGCUAUUAGACAGUCUUUACUAAAGGCUGGCGAACGCAAGCAAGACGAAAGG
rnacentral:rRNA from 1 species